GAUGAAGAACGCAGCGAAAUGCGAUAAGUAAUGUGAAUUGCAGAAUUCAGUGAAUCAUCGAAUCUUUGAACGCACCUUGCGCUCUUUGGUAUUCCGAAGAGCAUGCCUGUUUGAGUGUCAUGAAAAUAUCAACCUUGACUUGGGUUUUGUGCUCUAGUCUCGGCUUGGAAUUGGGUGCUUGCCGCUUUUACGAGCGGCUCACCUUAAAUGUAUUAGCUGGAUCUGUCUUUGAGACUUGGUUUGACUUGGCGUAAUAAGUAUUUCGCUAAGGACAUUCUUCGGAGUGGCCUCGUUUCUAGGACGCUUGUCCGCUUUCCAAUUCAAGUUCCACCGCGUGGACAUGACUUUUUAUUAUCUGGCCUCAAAUCAGGUAGGACUACCCGCUGAACUUAAGCAUAUCAAUAAGCGGAGGA
rnacentral:misc_RNA from 1 species